GAGGUUGGCAAGCGUUGUCCGGAAUUAUUGGGCGUAAAGCGCGCGCAGGCGGUCCUUUAAGUCUGAUGUGAAAGCCCACGGGCUCAACCGUGGAGGGUCAUUGGAAACUGGGGGACUUGAGUACAGAAGAGGAAAGCGGAAUUCCAAGUGUAGCGGUGAAAUGCGUAGAGAUUUGGAGGAACACCAGUGGCGAAGGCGGCUCUCUGGUCUGUAACUGACGCUGAGGCGCGAAAGCGUGGGGAGCAAACAGGAUUAGAUACCCUGGUAGUCCACGCCGUAAACGAUGAGUGCUAAGUGUUUAGGGGGUUUCCGCCCCUUAGUGCUGCAGCUAACGCAUUAAGCACUCCGCCUGGGGAGUACGGCCGCAAAGGCUG
rnacentral:rRNA from 1 species